rnacentral:rRNA from 1 species
UGGGGAAUUUUGGACAAUGGGCGCAAGCCUGAUCCAGCCAUGCCGCGUGAGUGACGAAGGUCUUCGGAUUGUAAAGCUCUUUUGGCGGGGACGAUAAUGACGGUACCCGCAGAAUAAGCCCCGGCUAACUUCGUGCCAGCAGCCGCGGUAAUACGAAGGGGGCUAGCGUUGUUCGGAAUUACUGGGCGUAAAGCGCACGUAGGCGGAUUUGUAAGUCAGGGGUGAAAUCCCGGGGCUCAACCUCGGAACUGCCCUUGAUACUGCAAAUCUCGAGUCCGAUAGAGGUGAGUGGAAUUCCUAGUGUAGAGGUGAAAUUCGUAGAUAUUAGGAAGAACACCAGUGGCGAAGGCGGCUCACUGGAUCGGUACUGACGCUGAGGUGCGAAAGCGUGGGGAGCAAACAGGAUUAGAUACCCCCGUAGUCCCUGAGCGGGCUGGCAAGGCGCAU